AUGGGUCCUGGUCCUAAAUUGGGUUUUCUAGACCACUGUGAUACAACUAGUGCCACGGCCCCGUCUGUCUUCCCCCUGACCUCCUGCACCGGCGAAGUCACCACCUCCCCGGUCACCUUCGGCUGCCUGGCCAAAGGCUACUUCCCCGAGCCGGUCACCGUGACAUGGGGCCCGAACGUCGGCUCCUCGGGCGUGAGGACCUAUCCCUCCGUGCUGCAACCUUCCAGCGGCCUCUACUCGCUCAGCAGCCAGGUCACCGUCCCGGCCAGCAGCUGGGAGUCUAACACCUAUCGAUGCACCGUACAGCACCAGCCCACCAGCUCCAGCAUCUCCACGGAAAUCCCAAAGCCCCCCAAACCCCAGGCCCUCAUUACACCCAAGGUGAAAAUCGUCUCCAACACCGACCGAGACCCCGUCCAGCUCACGUGCUUAAUCUCCGGCUUCUACCCUGAGAAUUUGACGGUGGAAUGGAUGGUUGACGGCGAGCCCAGGAAACUUCCUAAUGACACAGCCCUUACCACGAAGGACGCCAACGGCCGCACCUACAGCACCCACUGCAAUGUCACUGUCUCCAAGGCCGAUUGGCGGAAGGUCAAGUUAUACACGUGCCAGGUGUCCCAGCCGGGCACCCCCAUCAAAUCGCAGGGCCACACCAACAAGUGCGGAGAAGAAACGUCUCCCGGCGAUAUCCAGGUCUUCCUGGUGCCUCCGUCUCCCGCCGCUCUGUAUGUGGCCCAGAGCCCCAUGCUCACCUGCCUGGUGGUCAACCUGCUUAGCAACUCCAGCCCCCAGGUGGUCUGGUCCCGGGAGAAGCCGGGCUCCAUUGUCCCUGAACCCCUGACCCUCACUGAGCAGCUCAACAGCACCUUCACCGCCUCCAGCUCCAUGCCCAUCUUCACCCGCGACUGGGAGGCCGGAGAGACUUUCACCUGCAAAGUGAACCACUCAGAGCUACCCUCACCCUUCAUCAAAUCGAUCUCCAAGAAGCCAGGCAGGCGCUCUGGCCCUGGCAUCUACCUCCUGCACCCCCACAAUGAGGAGUUGAGCAGCUCCAGAGACUCCAUCAGCCUCACCUGUCUGGUGCGGGGCUUCUUCCCCGAGGACAUCUCGGUGCAGUGGAUGAAGAACCACAAACCCGAUGAGAGCUUGGAAUAUAUCACCACUCCGACCAUCAAGGACGGAGCCGGCGACUCGAACUUCUUUCUCUACAGCAAGCUGAAAGUCAGCAAGGCCAGCUGGAACAGAGGGGACAUCUACACCUGCAUGGUCACCCACGAAGCCCUGCAGAUGAAGUUCACCCAACGCAGCAUCAGCAAAGUCUCUGAGGUGAUCGUGUCAGGUGAGUUUUGCAAUGAGGACGGAGACGAGGAGCUGGACGGCCUCUGGUCCACCAUCUCGGUCUUCAUCACCCUCUUCCUCCUGAGCGUGUGCUACAGCGCCACCAUGACCCUGUUCAAGGUGAAGUGGCUUUUCUCUGCCAUGGGGGAGCUGAAUCAGGCGAGUGGCCCUGAGUACAAGAACGAGAUCCAGAGUGUGGUGUAG